UCUCUCUCUCACCAUGCUCAACCUUUCCGUUUACAAUUUUCUCAUUUUAGUCAUAACCCUCACUCUACCAGACUCUCACACACACACUCUUUCUCUCUUACUCUCUCUCUCUCUCUCUCUCUCUCUCCCUCUUUCUCUCCAUCUAUAUCUCUCUUCGCCUUUUCUCUCUCUUUCGAUUGCUAUUUUAAUUUUACUUUGCUACAACGUGAAGCAUCAUAUUGUUCUCGGCAGCCACUCAGGCGUCACAAGCUUGGAAUUGAAUAACAUGUGAUGAUUUGUACAGUAGGAUUUGGUAACGUUACUUUGGCAAAAAUGAAAAAUAAAUGUAUUUUGCCCCUGGAUAGUAUUAUCAGGUGUUCAUAUCUUAUUUAUUCUCCAGAAUCGACUACAACACAAGACACCACAACGAUGUCCACCACGGAAUCCACCACCUCACAUCCAACCACAACUACUCAAUCAACUACUACACAAGACGCCACAACGAUGUCCACCACGGAAUCCGCCACCUCACAUCCUACCACAACUACUCAAUCGACUACAACACAAGACGCCACAACGAUGUCCACCACGGAAUCCACCACCUCACAUCCUACCACAACUACUCGUAAGAAAAUUUUAUUUUACACCAUCUCUUUAUCUCUUUAUCUCUCUCUC